rnacentral:rRNA from 1 species
CCCCAGACUCCUACGGGAGGCAGCAGUGGGGAAUAUUGCACAAUGGGGGAAACCCUGAUGCAGCGACGCCGCGUGAGUGAAGAAGUAUUUCGGUAUGUAAAGCUCUAUCAGCAGGGAAGAAGAAGGACGGUACCUGAGUAAGAAGCCCCGGCUAACUACGUGCCAGCAGCCGCGGUAAUACGUAGGGGGCAAGCGUUAUCCGGAUUCACUGGGUGUAAAGGGAGCGUAGACGGCGACGCAAGUCUGGAGUGAAAGCCCGGGGCCCAACCCCGGGACUGCUCUGGAAACUGCGUCGCUGGAGUACGGGAGGGGCAGGCGGAAUUCCUGGUGUAGCGGUGAAAUGCGUAGAUAUCAGGAGGAACACCGGCGGCGAAGGCGGCCUGCUGGACCGUGACUGACGUUGAGGCUCGAGAGCGUGGGGAGCAAACAGGAUUAGAUACCCUGGUAA